AAAAAGACAAACCCUGGGUUUUCAUAUCCAAUGUUUGAUUGUCCGUCUUAUAUGAUUUUUUUUUAAAUUAGUAUUUUCAUUGUUGUUAGAUGAUAAAACAUGAUUAACACUUUAUGCAUGACUUGUCUUUUUAAUUUUUUUAUAAUUUUUUUAAAUAAGACAGACGGUCAAACGUUGGACACGAAAACACAUGGUUUGUCUUUUU
rnacentral:pre_miRNA from 1 species